rnacentral:rRNA from 1 species
ACUACGGGUGGCAGCAGUGGGGAAUAUUGCACAAUGGGGGAAACCCUGAUGCAGCGACGCCGCGUGAGUGAAGAAGUAAUUCGUUACGUAAAGCUCUAUCAGCAGGGAAGAAAAUGACGGUACCUGCGUAAGAAGCCACGGCUAACUACGGGCCAGCAGCCGCGGUAAUACGUAGGGGGCAGGCGUUAUCCGGAUUUACUGGGGGUAAAGGGAGCGUAGACGGUGCGCGAAGUCUGGAGUGAAAUGCCGCAGCUGAACUGCGGAACUGCUUUUGAAACUGGCGAACUAGAGUGCGGGAGGGGUAAGCGGAAGUCCUAGUGUAGCGGUGAAAUGCGUAGAUAUUAGGAGGAACACCGGUGGCGAAGGCGGCUUACUGGACCGUAACUGACGUUGAGGCUCGAAAGCGUGGGGAGCAAACAGGAUUAGAUACCCUUGUAGUC